rnacentral:tRNA from 1 species
GCGCUCGUAGCUCAGGGGAUAGAGCGGUGGUUUCCGGUACCGCGUCAUGCGGGGGUUCGAUUCCCUCCGAGCGCGCCA